CCUGGCUCAGGAUGAACGCUGGCGCGUGCCUAACACAUGCAAGUCGAACGGGGAUAUAUUGGAAUGAGGAUUCGUCUGAGGAAAAUGUAUCUUAGUGGCGGACGGGUGAGUAACGCGUGGGCAACCUACCGUAUACAGGGGGAUAACACUUAGAAAUAGGUGCUAAUACCGCAUAAGCGCACAGCAGUGCAUACUGGAGUGUGAAAAGCCGAGACGGUAUACGAUGGGCCCGCGUCUGAUUAGCCAGUUGGCAGGGUAACGGCCUACCAAAGCGACGAUCAGUAGCCGGCCUGAGAGGGCGGACGGCCACAUUGGGACUGAGACACGGCCCAGACUCCUACGGGAGGCAGCAGUGGGGGAUAUUGCCACAAUGGGGGGAACCCUGAUGCAGCGACGCCGCGUGAGUGAAGAGGUAAUUCGUUAUGUAAAGCUCUAUCAGCAGGGAAGAAUAAAUGACGGUACCUGAGUAAGAAGCCCCGGCUAACUACGUG
rnacentral:rRNA from 1 species